UCUUACGUCAUAAAGCAAUCCAUCAAAAGAGAUCUUUCUCCCUUUUUAUCACUGUGUUGCUCUCUCCGUGGUAACACAUUUUCUUCCUACUUUUACACAACGUCUUUUCUUUUGAAUAUUUGCUUUAGUUUCUUUCUGUGCAUCUACUGGACGCCCACCUCAACGUGCAAAAAUCGAUUUCCAUCUGCUGAAUUGUUCAAAACGAUAACUCUCUGACGCCUUUUUCGAUUUUAUAUUAGCUCCACUUUGCUAUAACAUAUUAGCUCAUUUUGCACACUUUCACACGCGUUCAUUAUCAGUUUUCUCUUUUUCCCCUCGCGUUCCUGAUCUGUAGUAUAUCUUUUGUUUGCUUUUGCUGACGAAACGCAGAAGGAGAAAUGGGUUCUAACGCGUCGCAUACUGAACCCCAAGUGCCAAAGGAGUGCACGAUGGUGGCGAAGCGAAAGGAAUUCGAGCGGACAAAGGUGAUUCAAGAGGCCACCUUUCUUACCUUCAAAGGUUUGGACACACACGACGUGUACAACUGCUGCGUUCCUUUUAAGAUCAAUGGCACCUACCACAUCUUCGGACGCGCCGAGCGACGCAGCGAGUGGGUCAAUUCGCAUGUCCGCCUCUUCCGCAAGACCGGACACGACGAGUACACCCUUGUGGAGCACGCGAUGCAAUACCAGCUGGAAGACCCGUUUCUUGUGAAGAUCAACGAAGAGGCGCUUUUCGGUGGUGUGCGUGUCACAAAGGACCAUGGAAAGGUGUCCGGCUACGUCUGCGAUUUCUAUCGUGGCAAAAUAGACGACCUACACUAUUUCACUUCGGGCCCGAAGAACAUGAAGGAUAUUCGUCUCGUCGGGCUGGCCGACGGGAAAAUUGGUGUCUUUUCCCACCACAAGACCAGCAAAACCUGCAUUACCGGCUUUAUCAUUAUCGAUUCACUCGACGAUCUUUGCUCGCAGGUAAUCGACUCUGCAAAGCCGAUCGAUCACACGCUCUUUGGUGACGCGUGGGGUGGUGUAAACCAGCCGUACCUUCUAUCAACAGGUAAAAUCGGCUGCAUUUCUCACCAUGGCUAUCUCGACACGGAUGCAAACGGCGAAAUCAUCAACGUGUACUGCAUCACGUCCUUCGUUUAUAAGCCGUCAACCAAUAAGUGCUACGACUACAAGAUUCUUGGCACAAAAAACUGCUUUCCAGAUUACCCGGCGAAGGCGCCAAAACUGAUAGACUGCGCUUUCGUCUCUGGUAUCGUGAUGCGUGAGGACGGCAAGUGCGACCUGUACAGCGGUGUCGGCGACACCCGGGAGGGUCGAAUGGUGAUCGACUACCCGUUUGAGGGACAUGGCACUAUUGCCGACAAUGUCGACUUUUGAGGGCUCAUCCGCCAUACGUCUAGUGACGACAGCGACUCAGG
rnacentral:misc_RNA from 1 species